rnacentral:rRNA from 1 species
UACGUAGGUCCCGAGCGUUGUCCGGAUUUAUUGGGCGUAAAGCGAGCGCAGGUGGUUUAUUAAGUCUGGUGUAAAAGGCAGUGGCUCAACCAUUGUAUGCAUUGGAAACUGGUAGACUUGAGUGCAGGAGAGGAGAGUGGAAUUCCAUGUGUAGUGGUGAAAUGCGUAGAUAUAUGGAGGAACACCGGUGGCGAAAGCGGCUCUCUGGCCUGUAACUGACACUGAGGCUCGAAAGCGUGGGGAGCAAACAGG